CUGGCGGCGUGCCUAAUACAUGCAAGUCGAACGCUUUUUCUUUCACCGGAGCUUGCUCCACCGAAAGAAAAAGAGUGGCGAACGGGUGAGUAACACGUGGGUAACCUGCCCAUCAGAAGGGGAUAACACUUGGAAACAGGUGCUAAUACCGUAUAACACUAUUUUCCGCAUGGAAGAAAGUUGAAAGGCGCUUUUGCGUCACUGAUGGAUGGACCCGCGGUGCAUUAGCUAGUUGGUGAGGUAACGGCUCACCAAGGCAACGAUGCAUAGCCGACCUGAGAGGGUGAUCGGCCACACUGGGACUGAGACACGGCCCAGACUCCUACGGGAGGCAGCAGUAGGGAAUCUUCGGCAAUGGACGAAAGUCUGACCGAGCAACGCCGCGUGAGUGAAGAAGGUUUUCGGAUCGUAAAACUCUGUUGUUAGAGAAGAACAAGGAUGAGAGUAAAAUGUUCAUCCCUUGACGGUAUCUAACCAGAAAGCCACGGCUAACUACGUGCCAGCAGCCGCGGUAAUACGUAGGUGGCAAGCGUUGUCCGGAUUUAUUGGGCGUAAAGCGAGCGCAGGCGGUUUCUUAAGUCUGAUGUGAAAGCCCCCGGCUCAACCGGGGAGGGUCAUUGGAAACUGGGAGACUUGAGUGCAGAAGAGGAGAGUGGAAUUCCAUGUGUAGCGGUGAAAUGCGUAGAUAUAUGGAGGAACACCAGUGGCGAAGGCGGCUCUCUGGUCUGUAACUGACGCUGAGGCUCGAAAGCGUGGGGAGCGAACAGGAUUAGAUACCCUGGUAGUCCACGCCGUAAACGAUGAGUGCUAAGUGUUGGAGGGUUUCCGCCCUUCAGUGCUGCAGCAAACGCAUUAAGCACUCCGCCUGGGGAGUACGACCGCAAGGUUGAAACUCAAAGGAAUUGA
rnacentral:rRNA from 1 species